UGCAGCCUCGUCAGGCUCAGUCCCCUCCCGAUAAACCUCUAAAUAGGGUGUUUCCCCGGGGGUGGCCUCCG
ensembl:miRNA Mir484 microRNA mir-484